AGAGAAGUGGGAGACCCAUCCAAUUGGCGGGUUGGUUGAGGGGAGGAUGGCAUCAAGGAUAACUUCCUGGAGGAGGGGCUGAUUAUUCCCAUUCUGAGAACGGGUAGAGCCUGGAUAGAACUGGUGGGAAGGAGCGUUGCCAGGACUGGUCCCCUGCCCCACCCCUCACCCCCCACAAGGCCCCUGCAGCAUCCCCCACCCAGGCCCUGUGUGCAUCCUCUCCUUCCCUCUGGUCCCAGGAAUACCGAGUCAUGAGGGAGAUGCUGCUGCUCCCAGUGGUUGCAAAGCAUUACAACCAGAGCUGGAGGAGUGAUUUGGGACCUGAUUCCAGGACAUGGAGCUGCUAAACGAGAAUGAUAGUUGAGGCUGUGCAGGAGUUGAGUGAGGGCAGGGGUGGACUCUCCAUGUUGGCCAGUCCAGAGAGCCUGUCUCCAUGGCCCCCUGCUCAGCCCCAGGCCUUAUUGCUUGGCGAACUCUGUGACACCCAGACUCCAGGUGCUGGGAAGGCAGUGGGGGGACACCUGAGGUGUGGCUCCUGGUAGGCUCAGAGGUGCCUCUCUGUACUGUAGCUACAGCCUGUCCUGCCUGCUGGAUCCCCAGAUCUAGUUGGCCAGCAGAAUAUUCAAGGCCAAGAAGAGCCGGCCAUCAUCAAGUUCAGGGCCCCCAGGCCCCAAUACCGAGACCCAUACCAGUGGCCGAUCACAGCCUCAUCCUCAGCAGCCAGGACACAGCUGGGAAGCUUGCGAUGCACCGGGCCAGCUCCUCCCACCUGACAGGAAGGGGAGCAUUGUAAGCUGAUUCCUGGAGUCCCCUGAAGCCCAAGAGAGAGAGGACGACCCCAUCUCAGCUCCCUGACAUCCCCCAGCACCUAUGAACCCAUUGGGGAGGGACAGUAGUUAUUUGUUGUAAAUAAUAAAUGCCAUGUUUGAAUAUUA